CCUACGGGGGGCAGCAGUGGGGAAUAUUGCGCAAUGGGCGAAAGCCUGACGCAGCGACGCCGCGUGGGUGAUGAAGGCCUUCGGGUUGUAAAGCCCUGUCGGGUGGAACGAACGAUCUGGCGGCGAAUAACCGCCGGGUGUGACGGUACCACCGAAGGAAGCCCCGGCUAACUACGUGGCAGCAGCCGCGGGAAGACGGAGGGGGCGAGCGUUGUUCGGACGCACGGGGCGGAAAGCGCGCGUAGGCGGCGGACGCCCUCGGCUUAACCGAGGUCCCGCAUCCGAUACUGUCUGGCUCGAGUCUAGGAGAGGAAAGCGGAAUUCCCAGUGUAGCGGUGAAAUGCGUAGAUAUUGGGAGGAACACCGGUGGCGAAGGCGGCUUUCCGGACUAGUACUGACGCUGAGGCGCGAAAGCUAGGGGAGCGAACGGGAUUAGAUACCCUGGUAGUC
rnacentral:rRNA from 1 species